rnacentral:rRNA from 1 species
CAUAGGUUAAUGAGGCGAACCGGGGGAACUGAAACAUCUAAGUACCCCGAGGAAAAGAAAUCAACCGAGAUUCCCCCAGUAGCGGCGAGCGAACGGGGAGCAGCCCAGAGCCUGAAUCAGUGUGUGUGUUAGUGGAAGCGUCUGGAAAGGCGCGCGAUACAGGGUGACAGCCCCGUACACAAAAAUGCACAUACUGUGAGCUCGAUGAGUAGGGCGGGACACGUGGUAUCCUGUCUGAAUAUGGGGGGACCAUCCUCCAAGGCUAAAUACUCCUGACUGACCGAUAGUGAACCAGUACCGUGAGGGAAAGGCGAAAAGAACCCCGGCGAGGGGAGUGAAAAAGAACCUGAAACCGUGUACGUACAAGCAGUGGGAGCACAGAGCAAUCUGUGUGACUGCGUACCUUUUGUAUAAUGGGUCAGCGACUUAUAUUCUGUAGCAAGGUUAACCGAAUAGGGGAGCCGAAGGGAAACCGAGUCUUAACUGGGCGUUAAGUUGCAGGGUAUAGACCCGAAACCCGGUGAUCUAGCCAUGGGCAGGUUGAAGGUUGGGUAACACUAACUGGAGGACCGAACCGACUAAUGUUGAAAAAUUAGCGGAUGACUUGUGGCUGGGGGUGAAAGGCCAAUCA